CAAGGGAGAAUUAAAAAAAUACGGGAUAAAAAGGAAAAAUCGAAAACCUGCCGGAGAAAAAACUUAGAAAAAACCCUAAACGCGUAUGCCUCUCCACCACCUACACAUUUCUGUUCAAGUUUUAAGUGUUAUUUUUGAUUCUCUCCAUCAACCGCGUUUUAGUUUGUGCUUUUGGAGGCAAAGCAGAAUCGGGAAGAAGAAGAUGAUGAAGAAGAAUAAAAGAAGAAGUGUAUCUCAGAUCAAUACCGUCGUAUCUCUAAAUAGAGGUGAUUUGUGGGCAAUGAUUAAUCCUGCAAAUUGCAAUAUUGAACCUCAAUUCGCUACUGUCAAGUGAUGGCUUUGUUGUCCUUCAGUUUGGUCUUUGCAGCUAUAGUAAUCCCCUGUCCAGCUGUCCAGGGAAAACGCCACUUCAUUUAGCAGCUCAAGGUGGUUCUUUGGAAUGUGUUCAAGAAUGUCUUGCAUGAGGAGCAGAUUGAAUUAAAAAAAUGCAUCUGCAAAAAUUCGAUGCUUUGGUCCUGCUACCACCUGUUGCUCCAGAUGCGCAAGCCUGUUAGAUACUGGAGUGUUCCAUAUGUUAUAGCGUUGAAUUAUAAGUGCGGGGCAUGUAGAAGAGUCCAGGGAGAACUAUGACAAGCUAAAAUGCAUAUUCAAGCAGAUGUGUUAGUGCUAGGCAUUUUUCAUUGCUCAUGUCCCCUGUAGCCUUCCAUUUACAAACUAUAUCCAUGGAGGCUAAAAUCAAGUGAUCAAGUGAGAAAUAAGAGAGAAUCGAAGGUAGAGGAAGUUGUGCAUGCUGUCAGUACCUGGACCAGCAGAAGCUCCACGAAUGAUCCUAAACCAAAGGCGAAGUCUAAUUACCUAGGAACUAUGAAGAGAUUCUGCUGUUAAAGUCUUAGUAGCUCCCAACAGUACAAAACAGUGGAUGCUGAAACUAUAUUUAUACUCCAGAUAUUUGGUACGGAAAUGUUAUUCACCUCCCUAUUCUUCACCUCCCUCUAAUCUAAGCCCUACAUCUCUAUCGAGAUCCGCAUUCAGGUUCAGGUGGGGUUCACCAUUCCCUUAAUAUGGGGUGUAGAUUGUAGGGAGAUGAAUAGGGAGGUGGAUAACAGGGAGUUGAAUAGCAUUGCCGUAUUUGGUAGCUUAAAUUUAAUAAAAGUGCCAAGUUUUAUAGUUUGCAAAUAAGUAGAGUUUCCGGUUGCAUGUUAAUUUGAAUUUCCAAAGCCCAUUUAGCUAGAGCUUAUGUAAUAAGUUUGUUGAAAUAAUAAGUCUUGCAUGUUGUACUGUUGCAAGUCUUCAGAUGCUAAUGGGUAGUAUUUUGAUUUUAAUUAA